GAUGAAGAACGCAGCGAAAUGCGAUAAGUAAUGUGAAUUGCAGAAUUCAGUGAAUCAUCGAAUCUUUGAACGCACAUUGCGCCCGCCAGCAUUCUGGCGGGCAUGCCUGUUCGAGCGUCAUUUCAACCCUCGACCUCCCCUUGGGGAAGUCGGCGUUGGGGACCGGCAGCAUACCGCCGGCCCCGAAAUGGAGUGGCGGCCCGUCCGCGGCGACCUCUGCGUAGUAAUCCAACCUCGCACCGGAACCCCGACGUGGCCACGCCGUAAAACCCCCAACUUUCUGAACGUUGACCUCGGAUCAGGUAGGAAUACCCGCUGAACUUAAGCAUAUCAAUAAGCGGAGGA
rnacentral:misc_RNA from 1 species